rnacentral:rRNA from 1 species
CCUACGGGUGGCAGCAGUGAGGAAUAUUUGUCAAUGGGCGCGAGCCUGAACCAGCCAAGUCGCGUGAGGGAAGACGGCCCUACGGGUUGUAAACCUCUUUUGCCGGGGAGCAACGGGCGCCACGUGUGGCGCCACUGAGAGCACCCGGAGAAAAAGCAUCGGCUAACUCCGUGUCAGCAGCCGCGGUAAUACGGAGGAUGCGAGCGUUAUCCGGAUUUAUUGGGUUUAAAGGGUGCGUAGCCGGGCUGACAAGUCAGAUGUGAAAUCCCGUGGCUCAACCACGGAACUGCAUUUGAAACUGUCGGUCUUGAGUGUCGGAGAGGCAGGCGGAAUUCCUAGUGUAGCGGUGAAAUGCGUAGAUAUUAGGAGGAACACCAGUGGCGAAGGCGGCCUGCUGGACGACAACUGACGGUGAGGCGCGAAAGCGUGGGGAGCAAACAGGAUUAGAUACCCUAGUAGUC